rnacentral:misc_RNA from 1 species
GUGUACGGCCCCUGCGCCCAG